CUGGCUCAGGAUGAACGCUGGCGGCGUGCUUAACACAUGCAAGUCGAACGAAGCUCUCUGAUCCGAGGAUUCGUCUGAAGUGAUGAGAUGACUUAGUGGCGGACGGGUGAGUAACGCGUGGGUAACCUGCCGUAUGCAGGGGGACAACAGUUGGAAACGACUGCUAAUACCGCAUAAGCGCACGGGGAGGCAUCUUUCUGUGUGAAAAGAUUUAUCGGCAUACGAUGGACCCGCGUCUGAUUAGAUAGUUGGCAGGGUAACGGCCUACCAAGUCGACGAUCAGUAGCCGGCCUGAGAGGGUGAACGGCCACAUUGGGACUGAGACACGGCCCAAACUCCUACGGGAGGCAGCAGUGGGGAAUAUUGCACAAUGGGGGAAACCCUGAUGCAGCGACGCCGCGUGAGUGAAGAAGUAUUUCGGUAUGUAAAGCUCUAUCAGCAGGGAAGAAAAUGACGGUACCUGACUAAGAAGCCCCGGCUAACUACGUGCCAGCCGCGGC
rnacentral:rRNA from 1 species